rnacentral:rRNA from 1 species
CGAGUGAACCGGGAAAAGCUCAAAUUUGUAAUCUGGCUGUCUUCGAUAGUCCGAGUUGUAAUCUAUAGACGUGUUUUCCGUGCUGGACCGUAUCUAAGUCCCUUGGAACAGGGUAUCAAAGAGGGUGACAAUCCCGUGCUUGAUACGACCACCAGUGCUCUGUGAUACACGCUCUACGAGUCGAGUUGUUUGGGAAUGCAGCUCAAAAUGGGUGGUAAAUUCCAUCUAAAGCUAAAUAUUGGCGAGAGACCGAUAGCGAACAAGUACCGUGAGGGAAAGAUGAAAAGCACUUUGGAAAGAGAGUUAAACAGUACGUGAAAUUGUUGAAAGGGAAACGAUUGAAGUCAGUCGUGUUCUUUGGAUUCAGCUAGUUCUUCUAGUCUACUUCCAUUGAACGGGUCAACAUCAGUUUUGUCCGGUGGAUAAAGAUAGUAGGAAUGUAGCUCCCCCGGGAGUGUUAUAGACUAUUAUUGCAUACACUGGGUGAGACUGAGGACUGCAGCUCGCCUUUUGGCCGGUCUUCGGACACGUUCGAGCUUAGGAUGUUGACAUAAUGGCUUUAA